CCUGCAAGACAAGCACCGCCACAUUUUACACAAGAUCUUCCCAAAAAUAUAGCAACUGUUCAUGGGUGCAUAAGUUUCAGGUAUGCAGCACACUGAUAUUCAGUGCUUAGGAAAUAAAUAAUCAGCAUUUAGGUAAUGCUUGAGAUGUCUAAUUCUUCACCACAAUGCCACUUGGAAUGCCACUUCCAACUCGAGAAAGUGAAUGGCAGUGCUGCCUCUAAACGGAAGUGGUCACUGUGCUUCAUUGGCAGUCCAAGGCCAUUCUUGAGAAGCGUAGUUUCGUUUGCAGUCGAGAAGUGGCGCUGCUCCCUAAGCUGUUCCUCCACUCCACUGAGUAGUGGAGUGGAGGAACAGCAUUGAGUUGAGGAUUGUUUGAUAAUACAGGGCUACAGAAUACAGGCCUUGUCCUCACUGUUUAUGCAGGACAGUGCAGUGAUUUCAUACAAAGCAACUAAGGGCAGUAUUCUCGAACAAUCACUUUCGCAUGAGAUAGUAGAUGGUGCAUUGGCUGAUUUGAGCGGCUUUGCUAAACCAGCCAACCAGCGGGCACUGAAAUUUUGAUCUCUGAAACUGACUGAAUAUAUCCCCUAUACAGUGCCAUUCUUCAACUUGUAUUCUUCAAGUAGUUUCUGACCUUUACAAUGGCACGGAACAUUAAGCGUGGAUGUGUGGCACCAUUCAAAAUCGCAUCAUUCAACUGUGGGCCUUCAUGCACAGACUUUGCGAUUAACUUGGGUACAGGUAUUUUAUUAAAAUGCAACCUCUGUCAUUUUCACCGUUUUCUGCCAGAAUAAAGUGUCAGAAACAAAACUAAAUGACUCUUCGGUAUUUGUAUGGCCCCAUAGACUACAGGCCUGUGCUUUUUGCUUAUAUACACCAUUUUGACACCACCGCAAGGAUUUAUCCUAGAAGUCUAUGAAGGCAUUUUCAAUAGUGCAAGCACAAAAAUGUGAAAGCACGGUCAGAAAACAGCAGUGAAAAUUUUGGGAACACUGUCUCGUGCCUACACUGGUAUUGCUUACAGUAGUCACACCUGAUGGUUCAUGAAGGAAUUAUUUUUUCAAGAUCAUUAAUGUGUUAAGUGGUAUGCCUGAACACUUACUUCAU